UACGUAGGGGGCAAGCGUUAUCCGGAUUUACUGGGUGUAAAGGGAGCGUAGACGGUUAUGUAAGUCUGGAGUGAAAGCCCGGGGCCCAACCCCGGGACUGCUUUGGAAACUGUGUAACUGGAGUACAGGAGGGGCAGGCGGAAUUCCUGGUGUAGCGGUGAAAUGCGUAGAUAUCAGGAGGAACACCGGCGGCGAAGGCGGCCUGCUGGACUGAAACUGACGUUGAGGCUCGAAAGCGUG
rnacentral:rRNA from 1 species